GUGGGGAAUUUUGGACAAUGGGGGCAACCCUGAUCCAGCCAUGCCGCGUGUGUGAAGAAGGCCUUCGGGUUGUAAAGCACUUUCGGCCGGAACGAAAUCGCCCGUGUUAACAGCGCGGGUGGAUGACGGUACCGGAAGAAGAAGCACCGGCUAACUACGUGCCAGCAGCCGCGGUAAUACGUAGGGUGCGAGCGUUAAUCGGAAUUACUGGGCGUAAAGGGUGCGCAGGCGGCUCCGCAUGUCGGGCGUGAAAUCCCCGGGCUUAACCUGGGAAUUGCGUCCGAAACUAUGGAGCUGGAGUGUGGCAGAGGGAGGUGGAAUUCCACGUGUAGCGGUGAAAUGCGUAGAGAUGUGGAGGAACACCGAUGGCGAAGGCAGCCUCCUAGGCCAACACUGACGCUCAUGCACGAAAGCGUGGGGAGCAAAC
rnacentral:rRNA from 1 species